GUAGCAAUACGUUGAAGGCCGAGGAUGGUAAUUACAGUGGUCAGUAAUUCAACAUUCUUUUUCAGCAUCCGGCUGACGGCGACGGGAGCUGGGAUGCUGGAGGUGCCGGGGGUUGACAGAGAGAAAAAGAGGUCGCAUACGGCGCUUCGUCAACGAACCAAAGAUCAAAUCUGGCCAUUUCUCACACACACGCAGAGGCAAUCAACCGACAAAAAAAAAAGAAGAUAUUAAAGAAACAAUUUUUUUAUAUUUGAAAAAGUUUAAAGAGCUGGAAAACUUAACAAAAUCCUAGAAAUAAAAUAAUGUUUGAAUAUCAAAUGCUACAAAACCAGCUUCGAAUACACGAGAAGAAUAGUAAAAGUUGAAAAGUCCAGCACACUAGCAAUGAUGAGGUUAAAACUAAAAAUCAUCAAACAAAUUUAUUAUCGGCCUUUGGUAGGGUUGUACGGUACCGGCAUCCGGCUGACGGCGACGGGAGCUGGGAUGCUGGAGGUGCCGGGGGUUGACAGAGAGAAAAAGAGGUCGCAUACGGCGCUUCGUCAACGAACCAAAGAUCAAAUCUGGCCAUUUCUCACACACACGCAGAGGCAAUCAACUGACAAAAAAAAAAGAAGAUAUUAAAGAAACAAUUUUUUUAUAUUUGAAAAAGUUUAAAGAGCUGGAAAACUUAACAAAAUCCUAGAAAUAAAAUAAUGUUUGAAUAUCAAAUGCUACAAAACCAGCUUCGAAUACACGAGAAGAAUAGUAAAAGUUGAAAAGUCCAGCACACUAGCAAUGAUGAGGUUAAAACUAAAAAUCAUCAAACAAAUUUAUUAUCGGCCUUUGGUAGGGUUGUACGGUACCGGCAUCCGGCUGACGGCGACGGGAGCUGGGAUGCUGGAGGUGCCGGGGGUUGACAGAGAGAAAAAGAGGUCGCAUACGGCGCUUCGUCAACGAACCAAAGAUCAAAUCUGGCCAUUUCUCACACACACGCAGAGGCAA